CCUAACACAUGCAAGUCGAACGCCCCNCAAGGGGAGUGGCAGACGGGUGAGUAACNCGUGGGAACGUGCCCUUCNGUUCGGGAUAACCCNGGGAAACUUGGUCUAAUACCGGAUACGUGCGAGAGCAGAAAGAUUUAUCGCCGAAGGAUCGGCCCGCGUCCGAUUAGCUAGUUGGUGAGGUAAAGGCUCACCAAGGCGACGAUCGGUAGCUGGUCUGAGAGGAUGAUCAGCCACACUGGGACUGAGACACGGCCCAGACUCNUACGGGAGGCAGCAGUGGGGAAUAUUGGACAAUGGGCGAAAGCCUGAUCCAGCCAUGCCGCGUGAGUGAUGAAGGCCCUAGGGUUGUAAAGCUCUUUCGCCAGGGACGAUAAUGACGGUACCUGGAUAAGAAGCCCC
rnacentral:rRNA from 1 species